rnacentral:rRNA from 1 species
AUUGAACGCUGGCGGCAUGCUUUACACAUGCAAGUCGGACGGCAGCACAGAGAAGCUUGCUUCUUGGGUGGCGAGUGGCGAACGGGUGAGUAACAUAUCGGAACGUACCGAGCAGUGGGGGAUAACUAAUCGAAAGAUUAGCUAAUACCGCAUAUCUUCUGAGGAAGAAAGCAGGGGACCAUUUGGCCUUGCGCUGUUUGAGCGGCCGAUAUCUGAUUAGCUAGUUGGUGGGGUAAAGGCCUACCAAGGCGACGAUCAGUAGCGGGUCUGAGAAGAUGAUCCGCCACACUGGGACUGAGACACGGCCCAGACUCCUACGGGAGGCAGCAGUGGGGAAUUUUGGACAAUGGGCGCAAGCCUGAUCCAGCCAUGCCGCGUGUCUGAAGAAGGCCUUCGGGUUGUAAAGGACUUUUGUCAGGGAAGAAAAGGGCGGGGUUAAUACCCCUGUCUGAUGACGGUACCUGAAGAAUAAGCACCGGCUAACUACGUG